UCUCGAUCAGAUCAAUUUGUAUCCCGAAUAAUCAGCAAACGUUAUUGUUCUACAGUCUAUUUGCUACUCUCUAAAGUUGGACAUUUUCAAUCUAUCCCAUAAAAUCAGGAUUGAUUUACCUUCAACCCAAUCUCAAUAAAUCACUAUUGAAAUCAACUUAUCAACAACCACUCCUGUUAUCUUGGUUUUCGUCUAUCGCUACGCCCUAGGACUCCCCUUCUAUAACCAGCAUUUUACUCUCUCGCUAUCUCUAUGAAAAACUUAGAAAUUUGAAUGAACCACCACCACCUUACCUCCGGUGCUACACCCCACCACUGCCUCUGCUGAUCUAAAGCAAUAUCCAAACACCACAGCCAAUACCACAACACCACAUCUCUUCCACCAUCGCAUGAUUUCCAUCACUUCCUUCUCAGUCUCUCUUACUUGAGAUUUGUUUUCCUACUCAUGCAUCUUACCGCCACUGAAAAAGACAGAACAGAAGCACCAAAUGAUUAGGUUGAAGGAUUACUGGUGGCUCCCGCAGUUGUCGGAGCAUGAUCUAAAUUGAUAAAUUUAUAAAUAAGACAAAUAUGCAACAUGACCAUAAGUGGUUUUCAUGAGAAUGUUUGUAACAUACACCAUUCACUAUAACCUUAGUUAAUAAUUUGUUUUCAUCCCUCU